UCCCGUCCUAAAUUAAGGGACACCCCGAUAUGGUAUACACACAACAAACAAACAAGCGCAAGCAUCACAUAACAUUCGUCCGUAAAAAAAGCUUUCUUAAAUGAACACGCCGAGAAUGUACUUGUUCCGUUUCAUCGUAUCAAACAUUCGUACACGUAAUCGUGGUGCACAAGGAGCAGACAUCGCAUACACGUGGAAACGAUGUAUCUUUUUUCGAAUAUUUAAAAAGUAAUUUU